GAUGAAGAACUUAGCGAAAUGCGAUAAGUAAUGUGAAUUGCAGAAUUCAGUGAAUCAUCGAAUCUUUGAACGCACAUUGCGCCCCUUGGUAUUCCGAGGGGCAUGCCUGUUCGAGCGUCAUUAUAACCCUCAAGCUCAGCUUGGUGUUGGGGCCUGCUGCACUGGCAGCCCUUAAAAUCAGUGGCGGCGCCAUCUGGCUCUAAGCGUAGUAAUUCUUCUCGCUAUGGAGUCCUGGUGGAUGCUUGCCAUCAACCCCCAAUUUUUCUAUGGUUGACCUCGGAUCAGGUAGGGAUACCCGCUGAACUUAAGCAUAUCAAUAAGCGGAGGA
rnacentral:misc_RNA from 1 species